rnacentral:rRNA from 1 species
GACGAACGCUGGCGGCGUGCCUAAUACAUGCAAGUCGAACGCACUCUCGUUUAGAUUGAAGGAGCUUGCUCCUGAUUGAUAAACAUUUGAGUGAGUGGCGGACGGGUGAGUAACACGUGGGUAACCUGCCCUAAAGUGGGGGAUAACAUUUGGAAACAGAUGCUAAUACCGCAUAAAACCUAACACCGCAUGGUGUAGGGUUGGAAGAUGGUUUCGGCUAUCACUUUAGGAUGGACCGCGGUGCAUUAGUUAGUUGGUGAGGUAAAGGACUCACCAAGAACCGUGAUGCAUAGCCGACCUGAGAGGGUAAUCGGCCACACUGGGACUGAGAC